AGUGAACGCUGGCGGUAGGCCUAACACAUGCAAGUCGAACGGCAGCACAGUAAGAGCUUGCUCUUACGGGUGGCGAGUGGCGGACGGGUGAGGAAUACAUCGGAAUCUACUUUUUCGUGGGGGAUAACGUAGGGAAACUUACGCUAAUACCGCAUACGACCUACGGGUGAAAGCAGGGGAUAUUCGGACCUUGCGCGAUUGAAUGAGCCGAUGUCGGAUUAGCUAGUUGGCGGGGUAAAGGCCCACCAAGGCGACGAUCCGUAGCUGGUCUGAGAGGAUGAUAGGCCACACUGGAACUGGGACACGGUCCAGACUCCUACGGGAGGCAGCAGUGGGGAAUAUUGGACAAUGGGCGCAAGCCUGAUCCAGCCAUACCGCGUGGGUGAAGAAGGCGUUCGGGUUGUAAAGCCCUUUUGUUGGGAAAGAAAAGCAGCAGGUUAAUACCCCGCUGUUCUGACGGUACCCAAAGAAUAAGCACCGGCUAACUUCGUG
rnacentral:rRNA from 1 species